rnacentral:rRNA from 1 species
AAAUGUUGGGUUAAGUCCCGCAACGAGCGCAACCCUUAUCCUUUGUUGCCAGCGGUCCGGCCGGGAACUCAAAGGAGACUGCCAGUGAUAAACUGGAGGAAGGUGGGGAUGACGUCAAGUCAUCAUGGCCCUUACGACCAGGGCUACACACGUGCUACAAUGGCGCAUACAAAGAGAAGCGACCUCGCGAGAGCAAGCGGACCUCAUAAAGUGCGUCGUAGUCCGGAUUGGAGUCUGCAACUCGACUCCAUGAAGUCGGAAUCGCUAGUAAUCGUGGAUCAGAAUGCCACGGUGAAUACGUUCCCGGGCCUUGUACACACCGCCCGUCACACCAUGGGAGUGAGUUGCAAAAGAAGUAGGUAGCUUAACCUUCGGGAGGGCGCUUACCACUUUGUGAUUCAUGACUGGGGUGAAGUCGUAACAAGGUAACCGUAGGGGAACCUGCGGUUGGA